CGGACGGCGCGGGCCGGGCCUCGCUGCUGCUGCCGCGCUUCCCGGCUCGCGGAGCUCCGGGCCCGGGAGGGCGCUCGCUGUGUGACCCUGGGCGAGCGCGCGCGCCUCUCUGAGCCUCGGUGGCCUCCUCCGGCAAAAUGGUGGCGCCGGUACCCGGCUGUAAGGCGAGCGAGCCGGGAGCGGCCGGGGAGAGCGCUUCAGACCCAGGACGCUGCCUCCGAGUGACUUCGGGAAAUAGGGGUGACCGCGGCGUCGUUAGGAAGAUUGAGUGAGUGAAUAUUGAAAGUGGCCAGCACAGUACCUGCCCGCAGGAGUCUAGGAGGGAGACCAAGCAGGUCCGGCCCCGGGGCUGGGUUCGCCCUCCUCUUCCGAUCCCCCACAUUCCUGUUGGCCAGCCAGGCCUCUCUGCGGCACCGGCUGGGCUCCCGGCCUGGAGACCCGUACCCACGUCUCACCUGGGCCCCAGAAUCACCACCUCUGCCACGCUGCCUUCUCCCUCCGGAUAUUCAGGUGCAUCCCGGGUGAUGGGUACCAUAGGCAGCUCAGCCUCAAGGUUAAGGACGCAGGAGAGCUCCAGCUUGGCCCAGCUCUGCUGCAAGCAGGCACUUUUACCCAAGCUUGUAGAACAUGGAAUUAAAAGGGGCUGGCACUGUGGCGCAGCAGGUUAAUGCCCUGGCCUGAAGCACUGGCAUCCCAUAUGGGCACCGUUUUGAGACCCGGCUGCUCCUCCUCCAAUCCAGCUCUCUGCUAUGGCCUGGGAAAGCAGUAGAAGAUGGCUCAGGUCCUUGGGCCCCUGCACCCACGUGGGAGACCCAGAAGAAGCUCCUGGCUCUUGGCUGCAGAUCAGCGUAGCUCCGGCCUUUGUGGCCAAUUGGGGAGUGAACCAUCAGAUGGAAGACCUCUCUCUCUCUGCCUCUCCUCUGUGUAACUCUGACUUUCAAAUAAAUAAAUAUCUCAAAACAAAACAAAACACAAGAAUGUGUACAGGAGAACAACUUGUCCUACAAGGGAAGGAGAGAGAGUAGAGAGAGCUUCAGCAAAGGGGUUCGUGUUGAUCUGCGUCUAAGAGGCUGAAUACGAGUUCAUCAGGUGGAUGGGGAGGGCUGUACUUGGCAAGGGAAAGCACGUGCCAAGGUCGCAUUCAGAGAGCUAAAGGGACCAAAGACUCUGGACAGCACCCAGGGCACCCAGGGUCAGACUCCUGAGACCCAGCCCUGCUCUUUCCUUGCCAAGCGUCCCUGAGCUCCCUUCUCUGAGCCUCAGGAUGCACAUCUGUAAAGUGGGUGCGACAGUCCCCUUUUGGGUCACCCCUGGGAAUAACAGAUGUGUGUACAGGUCCAUCCAAACAAGCUGGACUACUUGUACAGUCCACCCCCAUGGAUGGUCAGGAGGGCACUCAAGGUCGAAGCAAAGUGACCAGGAGCACAGCUUAGCUCCGCCCAGCUCCACUCCACCUGCCCAAACACAGACACACACACACACACCCCCAUGACACACCUGCUGGAAAUCCCAUGUCUAGGUGUCCUGUCUCUGUAAAUGGUUUAUGAGCCCCCCGGGAGAGGGUACUGGAGGGGGGGCAAAUUCAUCAGAAGUUACUGACGCUGGACCAGAGGCGAGGCUUGUAAUUUUGGCGACUGAGUCCUCAGGAGCAGAAUUUAACUGCAACUACUACGGAGGUAGCACCAGGAAAAGCCCAAGGAAGUAGUGAAGGCCUGGUGCAGGGACGAGAGCAGGAGCACCUGCCUGGUGGGCAGAUACGAAGGUGCAGGGGAAGCCGGAGAGCCGGCCACGUCCUCCCAGGCAGGGGCCAAGGAGAAAGAAGAUGAAAGUUGGAGGCAUCUGGGCGAGAGGAGUCUGUAGCGGUGGGAUCACAGAGGAUCCCCAGAUGCCAGGUACCAGGACUAGGGGAUUACUCCGUGGACGUCAGAGUUUUUGAGCGAGGGAGGCACCUGGAGAUAUCUCCGCCCUCUCACAGGCCUACCAUACCUGCGGCUCUAAAGCGAGUGCGAGGAGGCUCCAGCACAGAGCCCCCCCCCUCCCCCCCCCGCACUGGGUCUGGAGGGAGCUGGUGUCCCCUCUCCCAGUCUGCACCCACAGCCACAGCCUUUGUUCCCUGGAGGCUGCCUUCAGCCCUGGAAGGAACUCGGGCUUUUCUGGGUCCGGUUCCAAGCAGUCCCAGCCCCAGCCGGUCGGUCGGAGGAAAAGAGCUCCCAGGGGCCGGAGAGGAGGUGCCAGGGGCACGGGCUGAUGCUGGCGCCGUGCGUGCCCGAGCGCACGCACCGUGGGUGGGACGCAGCGGAGUGUGGGUGGAGGCGGGGCCGAGCAGCUCAGGAGUCGCGGAAGCAUUGCAUCAAAAAUAUUAUUCAAGGCAGACAUUUGGCACGGUGGUUAAGAUUGCUUGAGAGACCUGGAUUCCAUCAUGAGGUUCCCGGUUCAAGUCCCAGGUCCACUUCCAAUUCCAGCUACCCUAGAAGACAGCAGAAGCUGGUCUGAAGUCCUGGGCUCCCUGCCACUCAUACAGAAGACCCGGACUGGGUUUCUGGCUCCUGGCUUCACCCUGGCCCAGACCUGGCUUUUGUGGGCUUUGGGGAAGUGAGCAAGUGUGUGGAAGAUCUCCCUCUCUCUCACUCUGUCUCUCUGUCUCUCUCUCUCUGUGUGUGUGUGUGUGUGUGUGUCUCUCUCUCUCUGUCUCUUUCCCACUCUCUGCCUUUCAAGCAAAAUGAAGAAAUAAAUAAAGAUUUUAAAAGCCAAAAAUAUUCUUUAUCUAGAUGACUGAAUUUAUUGGCACCCCAUCCCCGCUAUGUUUUCUGCGAGAGACCAGUGCCUCUCUUACCACCCUCUGCUCCUGUCCCUGCUGGUGACAUUUGUACCUCAUCCGGGUGCCAGUCACACAUAUGUGUUUACUUUGUAAAAAUGCAUGGAACUG